rnacentral:lncRNA from 1 species
AACCGCCCCUCCCUCGCCCAGGGACGCGAGGGGGACCGGCGGUCCGGGCGAGGCCUCGGCCGCGCAUCGCACCCCGGCUCCCCGCCGCCGGAGUUGAGGGGGAGGCGCGCUCUCCGUAAGAGCCGGAGGCGGGGCGCCAUCGCCCUCCCACUCCCCGGCGGGCGGGCCGGGGGAGCCCGGGGCUGCGAACACCCCCAGACGGGCGGCUGCGGGAGGGGAGGCUGGACCAAGGGGCCUGGUCCACCGGACCAGCGGUGGCGGCAUCGGCAUCUCGCCUCCUUCAGGCCUGCACGCGCCACAGGCCGCAGCCUGGACCAACCCCGCGUCCCCGGGCCGUGAGCGCUGCGGUCCCGGCCCCCCAGAGCGGGACGCCGGGCGGCCGCAGCCCCCCGGACCCGGCUCUCCGCCCGCUCCGCCCGCAGUCCCGGCGCGGAGAGCGGCCGCCCGAGCCGCUGCCGCGGCAGCGCGGGUGUCGGCGACGGAGCCCGGGGCGGGGAAGAGCGGAGGAAGGGGCGGCGAGGGGGCGGGCCGGCGGCGGCCAGGGAGGUCGGAGUGCGCGGGGCUCGGCACCCCCUCGGCCCGCGCUGCGCCAGCACCACCUGCGGAGCUGCGGUGCCCACGCCGUGCCGCGACCCCGCCGCCCCUGCUCCCUCCACACGCGGGCAAACAAAACAAGUUGCCGGUCGCUGCCGCCGGAGGGGGCCGGGCGGGUCACUCACCCUCAUCCUGCUCAGCGGGCUUGGGUCGUCCGGCCGCGGGGUCAGGGAAGACCAGAGGACCACUAGCCCCAGGAAGCUUCCCACCACCAGCAAACUGCGUAAGAUGAACCCAAUCUUCAGCCUCAUCUUCCUCCGGCGGCGAGAGACUCACAGCCCGGCGCAGCCGCCGCCACCGCUCUCCCCUCCCUCCUUCCCCCUCCUCCGGCUCUCCUCCCCCUCUUUCCCCCACCCCUACCGCUACGGCUGCCGCCCUCUCCGCUGCCUGCCCUUUCCAGCUCCAGAUCCGGAACUCCCCUCGGCUACACCUUUCCCCGGGCUCUUCCCUCCGCUCCUCCCCGUGGCCCCCUCCCCUCUGGCGGCCACCGCAGAGCUCCGACUGACCCGUGUGCCUCGCUCUGCCAGGCUGCCUUCCUCUCUACCUGCCCCCUUCCAGAUCCGCAGUCCCCUGCUCUCCACGCGAGCCCCCUUCACAGUCCCUGCUACCUUGUAACUAACUUGCACUUUUCCCGAGUCCGGUUCUUAGCCUUUGCCCUGCAGCUCAGCUCCUUAAAGCUUUCAGAUCCCCAAACUUUUAUUGUAAUUAUGGACAAUAACUCCGUCCUUAACGCCUGUGCCCUCCGGGAUCCCGUGGCCCGCCGCCCCCUCCGUUGGACCUGGAGUCGCUCUCGUCUGCACCUCUCCCUUAGACCCACUUCCCUGAGCCCCUUGUCGAGAGGCUUUCAGGAAGCCAACCAGGAAGUGGGACUACCGCUGCUGCUGCAGCAGCUCCACGUGGCUGAUUUAUAGCUGAAGGGUUUUUUUUUUUCCUUCUUAUUGAUUGUUCUUGCUUUUUCACACGGCUCCUUAAGGUGGUGAAUUUGUAACCGAAAGGCCCAGGUGAGAUGUGCAAAUAUCACUGGAUUGGAGGAGCUCACUUGGAAAGCCAGUAUUCCUCCUGAGCUAAUGAAAAGAAAGGCUGUCGUCUUAUGCCAAAAGCAAUACCAACCUUGUUCACGGGCUGGUAAGUUUCAAAUCCAAGGACCACGGAUUUCAACUCCACCCUCAUUGCGUCCCUCAGAUCUGAUAUUUGCCACUUGAUUUCUGCUUUUCAAACGCCUUUUCUGCCUGUGUUACCUAAAUUACACAGUAAAGGAUAUUGGCAAGUGUUUAGCCAAAUGCCCCACCCUGAGGAAAUAAUUUUUCUG